ACUGAGGAAUCUGGCUACAUUUCAGGCCCCAAGGGGAGUCUUCAGUGAGCCCAAUAAGGAAGAAGCAUGAAGAAACUCCUGGCCAUGUCUUUGGUGAUUCUAUGGCUUCAACUGGCCAGGAUGAAUGGCCAACAAGGAGAACAGAAUCUUCAGACCCUGAGCAUCCAGGAGGGUGAAAAUGCCACCAUGAACUGCAGUUAUAAAACUACUAUAACCAAUUUGCAGUGGUAUAAACAGGACUCAGGAAGAGACUUUGCCCAUCUGAUUUUAAUACGUUCAAAUGAGGGAGAGAAACUUAGUGCAAGGCUCCGAGUCACGCUCGACAGCUCCAUCAAAAGCAGCUCCCUGUUCAUCACGGCUUCCCAGGCUGCAGACACUGGUGUUUACUUCUGUGCUACAGAUGCACAGUGCUCACCAGGCAUCUGGGUCCCCCACAAAAACCCUGCCAGAGCUGCCUCUUUGAAGCCCCAAGAGUGUGUAGAAAUGGUGGUUAUGUCUUCCCAUCAAGGAGAGUCUACAAAUAGCUGGCAACAUGAAAGGGAGGACCCCUCAAAUACCUGCCAUUCUGGCAACACCUAGGACAAGGGUAAAGGGCCUGGGAUUUAGAGCUGGAAACUGGAAUGCCAGGUUCAGGUCAGCAGAUCCUGGCUCUGUGUCCUUAGACACAUCAUCGGUAUAGAAGCCUUAAGUCCCCUCACUCUAAAUGAAGGACUUGGACUGAUGAGCCCAAAGACCCUUCAAGCUUUCAUUUUACCAGGUCCUUUGUGGAGGAUGAGGGAGGGCUUCUCAAUAUUAGAUCUCACCUAUUGGUUGUGCAGCCCCCUCAAGAUCUAGGUGGGACUUGGACAUGCAUGCGAUGAUUUUUAUAUUUCUCUAAACCCUGUAU